UCCCCCUCGCAAAGGGCAAAGAGGCACCUUGUUAGUGGUGUAACUCUGACAUCAGUCAGGGGCACAGCAGACGACAGUCCUUCAUUCUUCUUGGCUUGGUGCUUGGCUUGGUGGCCAAAACUCUCUUACACCUAGGAUUCACAC